rnacentral:tmRNA from 1 species
GGGGCUGUAACGGGUUCGACGGGGGUAGUGAGGCUUGAUAAGCGGGCAGAGGCGCCUGGCCUCUAUAAAACGGGCAACUUCUAAAUUAACUGACAACGAUAACGUCGUUCUGGCUGCUGCUUAAUUAGCGGCCCAUCCAUUCCGGAAGGACCACGAGCCGGAUUAGGGUGUGAUUUUAGUGGUGACCGUGCGUACGCAAAGCUUUGCGCGUACCAUGCAUUAUGAAGCUACUGAGCUGCGGAGCGUGACGAUUCGCGCCGCAGUGAGGGAAUGUAAAUAAUCGUCUGCGCCCGGAGAAAGUCCUGUCAAGUUACUUUCGGACAGGGGUUCAAUUCCCCUCAGCUCCACCA